GCGGUGAAUACGUUCCCGGGCCUUGUACACACCGCCCGUCACGCCAUGGGAGUCGGUAACACCCGAAGCCUGUAGUCUAACCGCAAGGAGGACGCAGUCGAAGGUGGGAUUGAUGACUGGGGUGAAGUCGUAACAAGGUAGCCGUAUCGGAAGGUGCGGCUGGAUCACCUCCUUU
rnacentral:ncRNA from 1 species